CAUUUUGCUGGGAGAGAAAGAGGCCAAUGGUGGUGGAUCACAGGGCUUCUCCCUCCCUACAAGAAGACACUGAGGCCCUGGAGCUUGUCCAGGGAAGGGCAGUGUAGCUGUGAGGGGUCUGGAGCACAAGUGUGAUGUGGAGCGGCUGAGGGAGCUGGGAUUGUUCAGUCUGGAGAAGAGGAGGCUCAGGGGAGACCUUGUUCUCUGCAACUGCCUGAGAGGGGGUUGUGGUGAGGUGGGGGUCAGCCUCUGCUGCCACAUAACUGCGAUAGGAUGAGAGGUGAUGGCCUUAAGUUGCACCAGGGGAGGUUCAAUAAAGUUGCCAAGCAGAUCACCUCAGUUUUGAAGCUGGAUGCUUUUUUUCCAACUGCAGUCCAGAAACCCACCACUGAAUCUGGAAAUGAAGGUGUAAUCUGUCCAAAUACAGACCCUUUCUCUAACUGCUGUAUAUGUGACUUCUACCCAACAUUGUAAUUGGAGGAACUGUAAGUACUGCUAAAGUCUGGAUUUUCCCGUUCUUUCCAUAUCUUGUCUUGUUCAUAUUGCAUUUCUGUAUUUAUUUCAUUCAGACUCCCCUGGUGGUCCCCACACAUCCCUUGUUAUCCCAUCAGGACUUUUAGACAAUCAGCUGUUGUUCAUGCUUUCUUCUGUUGUAAUAUGUUGUCAAAAGCUCCUUCCUGUUGUAACCUAACAAAAUCAUCUCACAGGCAUGGGGGUGGUUUGGUCAGGCAUCCAGGUCCCAAAAGACACCACGGAAAAGGCAAGUUCAGCUUGUUCUUUCUGCUUGUUAGCUUCGCAAGACUGAGAGUAAGAAAGCAUAUCUGUCUAUAUAAUAGCUGAAUGUGAUUUGAAUGCAAUCGAGCAGCUCAAGUACUUAGUAAAUGAUGAUGUGUACAUACCUAUAUUGCAGAGUGGAACUCUAUCUUACACUCUUUUUUACAAAGAUAACAAGUUCCAUAUCAGUUUUUUUUUUUACCUUGCUCGUAUUUUAUGAAUAUAGUGGAUGUUAUGACCCAGGCCUGUAUGUCAGCCAGUAUAUUCUUCUAUCUAUUUUAAAGCAGUGAACAGCAGUGCUUGACCAGCUAUAAUCUUAACUUGUUGUCGACAUAUUUUCAUUAAAUAUGUAAAUAUUAUUGGACUAAUAACAGUAUCCUUUCAAUAAAUCAAAACAGCUUACAGAAAAGUUCAUACAUUUAUCUUCAUAGUGACCCCCAAAUAUUCACUAAUAUCAGUGGAUUUCCUUCUUGGAGGAUUUGCUAAAUCAAUUCCACUCACUUGAUACUUGAAAAGUUUAUUUGAAAUUACAAAAUUUAGACACGCUUAAAAAUAAAACUCAGAGUUAAAUUUUCUGUAUAAAGUGCUGCCCCUAUUUUGUUAGUGAACAACAUUCUUUCGUUUGGAAGUAUGUAUCCAUACAUAUCUGAAAUGUAAAUGCAAUUCAAAUAUAUAUAUGCAUGUAAAAAGAUAUACAAAAUAGCUUUAGGUUGUAUAUUGACAAAUCCAUAGGGUUUAGGAAGCCUCCAGACUCCAACAAUUUUGCAUGGUUUUAGGAUUUUCUGAAAACAGGACAAGUCACAGAGGCUUCUGAUGGUAUUCCUGAGAUGUGGCUAAGUAUGAGAAAUGAUAUCUUCUGCACAGGAAGAACUGCACAUUUAUCAUCCAAGUAGCAAAAAACUAUUUCCAAUUAUUUCUAUUUUGUCAUUAAGGCCUCAUUUUGGGGUUUGGGUCUUCACAAAAAAAUUCCCACCACCUCUUUGAUGAACGAUUCCCUUUGACAUUGCUGCCCUCCAGCGGUCUUGUUAAGGCUUCCACGUUUCCAGGAAAGCAUUGAAAAACAUUGUACUAAAUCUUUGUUCUGAUUAGACCGCAGAGCAGCCAAAAAUACUUCUGUCAUCUCAGUCUGACAUAUUCUCUCACCUGGCUAUUGGGUAAGGCGUGUCUAUUCUCUACACUGGUAAAACUAUGCAUUAUCCCAUAAUUACUGCGGAACCAAAUGCAAUCAAAGAGGCAUCACUGGAAUGCAAGUCUCCAUUGGAUGUUACCAUGCAUAUCUGGAACUGAAGCUAGAGUCAACAGCUUGAAAAGCCAAGUUGGAGACGUGGCAGACGGGAAGCUAACCUCUCAGACAGCUAAAAAUAACCUGUGGCUGGCAGUUCCACCUGGAUAUUCUAUCCACCGUUUUCUCCCAGAACAUCUUGUGCGGUGUUUUUUUGUGGCUGUCUUCUGACGUGAGUCAGCCCUUUCACUCGCUUCCUGUUUACACCUUUCUUGACUUUAAGCUUCACUCCGUUUCCUUCACCUCUCUCCUGUAUCUACAAGUCUGUCCUUCACUAAAACAUGUCGGUGAGUAUUGCUGUACUUCUGCUGGAAUACUUAAGCUGUAAUUUCACUCAAGCCGCACGGGAUCCUACAAACAGACACACCCAACACGUAGGAGAAGCAUGUGGAAAAUGCAUCCACAAAGGAGUCAUUCCUUUCCGACAGUGUCUGGACAGACAUGUCACUCUCUAAUUAAGCUGGAUCCCUCUACACGGGGAUCCAACUGGAGUGUGCAGGGCUGGGAUGACACUGGAGCCACGAUAAGGGGCUCAUACUCUGUGUUCACCAGCAUAUUCUGUGCUUCUGGGAUUGGAGAGGAUUAUUGGGCUGCAGGAUUACUCCCUUUUGGCACAAGCUUUUACAUUUAACCCUAAAUAUUUUACCCAGUAAUGUGUUUUGUUAAAAUUAGUGAUUUUGUUCUGUGCUCCUUGAAUAGCUGGGAGUCCACUGAUUAUUUGCAAGGAGUCUAUGGAAGUUAACAAGAAAAGCAGCCAGUAGGUAGAUUCACCACCCCAAAUCUGUCUUCUGUUUCUGGAUGUGCACCGUUUCCCAAAUUAAAGACUAAGGCCAGCAUUUUCACACCUCAAAGCCUUCUUUGUGUGUUCACAAAAGGUUCUUCUCAGUGCUAGUUUUGGGAAAUAAAUCAAUUUCUUGGCACGUCAUCUACAAGGUGAUGGACCAGAGUUUCUCCCUCCAGGUCUUAAAGACUUGGCAGUAACAACAAGAUUUAACCGAUGCUUAAUUGCGUUCUUCCAUACUUCAGGGACAUCACUAUGUCUGUGUCCCAUACUACACUGCCAAUUCCAGGAUUGCACUGGUUGUCAGAAAACCAUGGCUUAGGCCUGUCUCGUGCUGUCCUAGAGUCUUGAUACUUUACCUUGGUCAAUAUGGAAUGAGGUCUGAAUCUUUGGAGCAGAAGAUGGAAAAGACCCACCAUACACCUCCAGUAUGUUAAGGUGCAAUGAGGAACUGCUGCCUAAUUUAGAAAGAGAAGAAGCCCAAACAUGUCUACUUUAAGGAUUUUUCAUCUGAAUUUGUCCUCAGCUCUUGAUUCUUUAAUAACAGCAUGAGAGAAAAUGCGUUUGAAGCAGAUGCUAAUCCGGACAGGCCCAUUCAAACACAUUUAGUGUAAACUGAUGAAUGCAGUGUUCCCUCCUAGUAGACAUGUUGGGGGCUAGAAAUAGCUUAUGGAUAUGUCAGACUAGGUGAGAAGGAAAUUUCUAAGGUGAAACUUUUAAAAUGCCACCUUAUUUCCCUUUAUGAGUUAUUUUUAUCUCCUGGAAAGCUAUAAAUUUAGACCAAACCCCAAACAAUAUUUCCUGGCUGUGGUGUUUCAGGGUGGUGAAUGAAGUGGGCUUAAAUAUAUUUCUCUCCCUUUAUCCUUUGGAACUCAGCCAUACACAAAUAACCCAGAAGGCCAGCUGAGUUAGGGCUGUGUAGCUGAGCAAGAACAUCUUGCAGGAGUCCCAAAAGAUCUUGUAAAGAAGACCUUUCACUUUGGGACAACAUGAAUACAGAAGCACUAAAGCUAUCUCCAAGGGGAGGAUGGGUAGAAUCAAUGAUGGGCAACACAAUGUCUCUUGUUUCAAAGAGCUGGAGAACAAGCAGAUGGCAUAGACUAUCUUGUUGGAGGGAAGUCUGACUGCUGUCCUUUGGAGAAACAGCCUGAGGGCUCAUGGCUGCUGCAGGCUGGCCCUGGUAGCAGAAAUACAAGGGAAGUGGCUUGGAUUUCUGGCCUCAUUUUCUAUUCUUGCUUCCCAAGUUAGCUUCAAACUGUGCCUUAGCUCUUGCAGACUGGGAGGAAUCUCACUGAAAAUAGCGUCUGUUAACAGAAUACAGACAGGGGAACACACUAUCAAAGACAGAAAAUCCCAGUGAGACGGGAGAGUGUGAGAGGUGGUGGUGUCCUGAGGGCACGAAGAGCCCAUCAUCAGCAAAGCGUACAGCUGUGUUAUCACCUUACGUUCUCAGCAUAUUACCUCAUUUUUCCUGUAGGGAAAGAUAGGACCAGCCCAGCCAAACCGGCAGGCUUGCAUAUGCUUUUCCAUAUGUGAGCCCUGCAGUGGAUCAAAGAAAAUGAGGAGGCAGCUGGGUUCAACAGCCAGAAGAACUGUUACCUGCCUACAAAUUCAGCACCUUCUUUUCUGCCCAGGUUAGCACGACAGAUUUAAGUGCCCCUCAUGUAAGAUGCCCAGUGAUACCUAAUCUAUUUGCCAGGGAAUGGCAGAUAUUGACACAGGAUCAACUGGGAACUGACAACUUGCUGGAGCAGAAGCAAAAUGCCAGCGUGGAAAUCCCACUGGACCUGAAAUGACACUACGUCUUCAGUUUUUAGGCAGCCAAAUACUGCUUUUAGAAUUGUAAAUUUCAAGAAGCACCAAUUUUCCCCGCAGAAACACCGUUAGAGUACCCAGCAAACUGUUAACAACCAAAAUAUGGGCUGACUCUCAGUGCUAUGUCUUAGUGUGGAAUUAAAGUGUUAAUUUUGAUCUGAAAGCACUCAGUCUCCUAAUGCUUGUAUUUUGGAGACUUCACCCGAAGGCAAAGCCCAGACCAAGCUUCAGGUUUUUCUUCUCCAGCUUUUAUAUGGACCACGAGCUCUUAGCUGGGAUCUCACUAAUGUGUAUUAAUAGCAAUCCCAUAGCUCUGUGUUCUAGCUUCCGUGUAUUGUUACCACAGGCACGUCUAAAUGCAUUUGCACAAAUCAGGUCUCCUGCAGUCGGAGGGAACGUGUGUCUACAAAAGGCUUUUCUGCUUUGGGUGCCCUACAGCAGGAGCAGGAAGGAAAUGAGUCAUUCAGGCUCUUUGCUUUGGCUGCACCAGGCUUGCAGAACUGAUGAGGCACCAAAAACCCAAUAAAAUACUUCCUCAAUGGGCAGCAUUUAUAGUUCUUCGUGUGCCCUGUUACCCUCUUGGUGUUUGCCCUUCAAAAAUCCAAAUAACCCCACCAGCCAGAGGAAUGUAACUGCAUUUGAUUGUCAGGAAUGUAAAUACAUGAUUUUGGAAGUAACAGUAUAUACGUAUUUAUGUAUAAACUUGAGGUGGCACAUAAAGCAAGCGUUCAUUAUUCCCUUUGUAAUAAAGACACGGUGUGUGAUCUCAGGCUUACAACACUAUGUCCCUGACUAGUAUUUACCCCGCCUGUUUUGAGAUGCUUCAGCAUCUUGAUUUUAUUCUCUUUACCCUUUCCAAAGGCUCUUCUCUCUCUUCCCUGACAGUUUAUUGAACUGUGCUCCUCACUUUCGUCUUACUGAAACAAGAUAUUAGAAGUAGCUUAAUGAGAAGUUGUGAAUGCUCUUUUUGAAUUCACUUGAUAAGAUUUUACAAGUUCAUCCUUUUAUUUGUUUGGGGAGUAAGUUAAUCUGAAAACUAACCUAGCAAUAACUUGUCAGUUGGGCUGAUCUUAUUUCCCCCCCCCCCCCCCCCCGAGACUUCAGAAUGUGUCUUUCUCUUCAUUUCAUCUCUGGCUUUUGGAAAAAAACAAAGCUGACGAUAAAUUAACAGCAACAAUGUUGGCUAUUCAUUAGGACCCCGAGAGACACCGGAAUUCCUUGUAUACCUUCUGUACUAACAUCUGCUCUAGAGAUACUAGCAAUUCAUAUUCAAGAACGUUUUCACACUCUGUAUGAAUGUUUCAGAUGGAGGUGGAGGGAAGUCUGAUGUCACUGAGCCAUAUGAACUGCAGCUUCAACUCUUUGGGAUCAGAAUAAAAAAGCCUUACUUGUAACAUCGCCAAUUAUCUGUGUUGCACGCUCUGGAAUCACAAGGUCCUCAUCUGCUACUUAAACCUGUGGGACAGUCUUUUAUAUAAUGAGAUUUGCUAAAUUGUAGGUGUAACUCAGACUUUCUGUGUUUUCCAUGCAGUUAAAAUUCAUAUGAACUGGCUACACUGAAAGAAUCAGUAAUUAGUUAAUGAUAUGAACAAUUGCAUCUAAUUAUUGUGAUUAUCCCAGAUACAGAGGAUUAAGCUGACAGCUGAACUAAAUUAAAAGGGAUCAUUACGACAGCAAUCAUCAACCCUCCUCUAUACCUAACUUAUAUUCCCUGCUGCUAUUGGUUGUGAAGGGGCAACGGUGCAAGGAAGAAAGGACUUGCGUCAAGCAUUCCUGGCAGCAGAUGACUUGGCCUAACGACUGUGGUAUUUAAAAGGUAGAAAUGGACUUUGUGACCUGGACAUUAGUGGUUGUGAAGCUCCAUUGUAACGUGGGAUGUGUUUGAAGGAGCCAUUAAUGCAUGAAAGUGGCAGGACCCUGGGAACGGCCUCCCGCUUUCUUUUCCCUAACAGUGGUUGUCAUGCCAAGAAACCUUUUCAUUCCAGUACAACUAGUACGUUACCAGGUACUCCAGUUAGCUUAUUGUUCCUCAUUCAUGCAACGUUAGCUUCAUGUGAAUGGUCAGAUUCACUAAAUGAUUCAGACAGGUACGUGUCAUAUGUAACUCUAGCAUUGUGUGAUCUGGGCUGUUUACUGAUGCACUGAACUGAGAAGCUGAUGAAAUGUAUAUGUUACAUUUUCUUUGAGCUUCUCAUUCACUGUUAAUAGAUGAGGUUUUGAUAGCUUUCAAAAAAAUCUCAGAAGUGUUUAAGACUAAAUGUGCUUUUCU